rnacentral:rRNA from 1 species
AUUGAACGCUGGCGGCAUGCCUUACACAUGCAAGUCGAACGGCAGCACGGGAGCAAUCCUGGUGGCGAGUGGCGAACGGGUGAGUAAUAUAUCGGAACGUGCCCAGUCGUGGGGAUAACGUAGCGAAAGCUACGCUAAUACCGCAUACGAUCUAUGGAUGAAAGCGGGGGAUCGCAAGACCUCGCGCGAUUGGAGCGGCCGAUAUCAGAUUAGGUAGUUGGUGAGGUAAAGGCUCACCAAGCCGACGAUCUGUAGCUGGUCUGAGAGGACGACCAGCCACACUGGGACUGAGACACGGCCCAGACUCCUACGGGAGGCAGCAGUGGGGAAUUUUGGACAAUGGGCGGCAAGCCUGAUCCAGCAAUGCCGCGUGCAGGA